AAGUCGUAACAAGGUCUCCGUAGGUGAACCUGCGGAGGGAUCAUUACCGAGAGUAGGGGGCCCCCCGGGGCCCCCGCCCUCCCCACCCUUUGUUUGACCAAACCCCGUUGCCUCGGGGGCCGGCCCGGCCGCCCCCGGUGGACCAACCGCAAACGCUGCAUCUGUGCGUCGGACGUAUGCGAAGCAAAUCGUUUUAAAACUUUCAGCAACGGAUCUCUUGGUUCUCGC
rnacentral:misc_RNA from 1 species